AGCACGCAAUGUUCCCAGGUGCCAAAGUACUGACCGCGCCCGAUGCUAUUUGACUGCGGUGAUCAGACGAGGACCGGUGGUCUCAGCAUGGUAUGGCCGUU